rnacentral:rRNA from 1 species
GAGUUUGAUCCUGGCUCAGGCACCAACGCUGGCGGCGUGCCUAAUACGUGCAAGUCGAGCGGAGAAAUGGGAGCUUGCUCCCAUUUCUCAGCGGCGGACGGGUGAGUAACACGUGGGCAACCUGCCCUACAGACUGGGAUAACUCCGGGAAACCGGAGCUAAUACCGGGUAAUACAUAGCAUCGCAUGAUGCAACGUUGAAAGUUGGCCUUUGGCUAACACUGUAGGAUGGGCCCGCGGCGCAUUAGCUAGUUGGUAAGGUAACGGCUUACCAAGGCCACGAUGCGUAGCCGACCUGAGAGGGUGAUCGGCCACACUGGGACUGAGACACGGCCCAGACUCCUACGGGAGGCAGCAGUAGGGAAUCUUCCGCAAUGGACGAAAGUCUGACGGAGCAACGCCGCGUGAGUGACGAAGGCCUUCGGGUCGUAAAGCUCUGUUGUUAGGGAAGAACAAGUACCGUUCGAAUAGGGCGGUACCUUGACGGUACCUAACCAGAAAGCCCACGGCUAACUACGUGCCCAGCAGCCGCGGUAAUACGUAGGUGGCAAGCGUUGUCCGGAAUUAUUGGGCGUAAGCGCGCGCAGGCGGUCUCUUAAGUCUGAUGUGAAAGCCCACGGCUCAACCGUGGAGGGCCCA